GACGAACGCUGGCGGCGUGCUUAACACAUGCCAGUCGAACGAUGAAGAAAAGAAUCGCAGCUUCGGCAGAAAUUCAUUUCGGAUUAGUGGCAGACGGGUGAGUAACGCGUGAGCAACCUACCUCUUACAAAGGGAUAGCCUCGGGAAACCGGGAUUAAUACCAUAUAACAUUGCGACGAAGCAUUUCGAUGCAAUCAAAGCUACGGCGGUAAGAGAUGGGCUCGCGUCCCAUUAACCGGAUGGUGAGGUAACGGCUCACCAUAGUGACGAUGGGUAACCGGCCUGAGAGGGUGAACGGUCACACUGGAACUGAGACACGGUCCAGACUCCUACGGGAGGCAGCAGUGGGGAAUAUUGCACAAUGGAGGGAACUCUGAUGCAGCGACGCCGCGUGAGUGAUGAAGGAAUUCGUUUCGUAAAACUCUGUUCUAUGGGAAGAAAAGGACUGUACCAUAGGAGAAAGCUCCGGCUAAAUACGUG
rnacentral:rRNA from 1 species